GUCCCAUUAGCUCAAUGGAUAGAGCGUUGCCCUCCGGAGGCAGAGGUUGCAGGUUCGAGUCCUGCAUGGGACG
rnacentral:tRNA from 1 species